UACGAAGGGGGGCUAGCGUUGCUCGGAAUUACUGGGCGUAAAGGGAGCGUAGGCGGACAUUUAAGUCAGGGGUGAAAUCCCAGAGCUCAACUCUGGAACUGCCUUUGAUACUGGGUGUCUUGAGUGUGAUAGAGGUAUGUGGAACUCCGAGUGUAGAGGUGAAAUUCGUAGAUAUUCGGAAGAAACACCAGUGGCGAAGGCGACAUACUGGAUCAUUACUGAACGCUGGAGGCUCG
rnacentral:rRNA from 1 species